UACGUAGGGUGCAAGCGUUAAUCGGAAUUACUGGGCGUAAAGCGUGCGCCGGCGGUUAUGUAAGACAGAGGUGAAAUCCCCGGGCUCAACCUGGGAACUGCCUUUGUGACUGCAUAGCUGGAGUACGGCAGAGGGGGAUGGAAUUCCGCGUGUAGCAGUGAAAUGCGUAGAUAUGCGGAGGAACACCGAUGGCGAAGGCAAUCCCCUGGGCCUGUACUGACGCUCAUGCACGAAAGCGUGGGGAGCAAACAGG
rnacentral:rRNA from 1 species